rnacentral:rRNA from 1 species
GAUGAACGCUGGCGGCGUGCCUAAUACAUGCAAGUCGAGCGAACGGACGAGAAGCUUGCUUCUCUGAUGUUAGCGGCGGACGGGUGAGUAACACGUGGAUAACCUACCUAUAAGACUGGGAUAACUUCGGGAAACCGGAGCUAAUACCGGAUAAUAUUUUGAACCGCAUGGUUCAAAAGUGAAAGACGGUCUUGCUGUCACUUAUAGAUGGAUCCGCGCUGCAUUAGCUAGUUGGUAAGGUAACGGCUUACCAAGGCAACGAUGCAUAGCCGACCUGAGAGGGUGAUCGGCCACACAGGAACUGAGACACGGUCCAGACUCCUACGGGAGGCAGCAGUAGGGAAUCUUCCGCAAUGGGCGAAAGCCUGACGGAGCAACGCCGCGUGAGUGAUGAAGGUCUUCGGAUCGUAAAACUCUGUUAUUAGGGAAGAACAUAUGUGUAAGUAACUGUGCACAUCUUGACGGGACCUAAUCAGAAAGCCACGGCUAACUACGU